UACAGAGGGUGCAAGCGUUGUUCGGAAUUAUUGGGCGUAAAGCGCGUGUAGGCGGCUUAGCAAGUCGGGCGUGAAAGCCCUCGGCUCAACCGAGGAAGUGCACCCGAAACUGCUGAGCUUGAGUGCCGGAGAGGAUGGCGGAAUUCCCCAAGUAGAGGUGAAAUUCGUAGAUAUGGGGAGGAACACCGGUGGCGAAGGCGGCCAUCUGGACGGUAACUGACGCUGAGACGCGAAAGCGUGGGUAGCAAACAGG
rnacentral:rRNA from 1 species